CAUAUUCACCUUUUCUAUGUUGUGUAGCACAGACACUUCUACUUUGGAGUUAAAGCAAAGAAUUUAACUACACUGAUGACAGGUAGUGAAUGUACAGUCUAGGAAAGAGGCACACUUUAUUCCUCUGUUAAUUGUAAUGCAUCAUAAUUUGUCAUCUUUCCUGUUUUCUUUUGGUCUUUUCUUGCAGUUAUAUUAACUUCAAUUUUGCCAUUAAUUAACAUGGAAACUAUUCUUAAUAUUGGUGCUAAUUUUACACAGUUUGUGCAUCCUUUUUUACUAAAAUAUGCAUGAAAGUUUUCCAUAACUUGUAUGUCAUAGCUAUAUUUAAGCUUAAUUUAAUAUGGAUAUAAGUUUUAAAGUUAUCAACUCAAUAUGAUGGGCAAUAAGUUCAUGUUCUUGAUACCUCUGUGCAUAAUUUUUUUAUGAAAUCGACAAAAACAUGCAUGCCAAAAGAUCUUAGGUGUAUAUAACGACAACAAAGACAUAAAGUCUCAACUAUCUGAAUAAAA
rnacentral:lncRNA from 1 species